CUGGAGCCCCAUAGAGGGUUGUAACAACGGGGCCACUCUCUCCAUUCACCGAGAGAGGGGAGAGCGGUGCUGGUGGAGGAGGCGAGGAGGUGGUGGUGUGGCGUGGGGGUGGCGGUGGUGGUGGUGGUGAGAAGGAGGGGUGGCAGAGGAGGGAGAGGAGAAAACGUGUAAUCACCCAAACAACCGUUUGUUCUUUCUUUCUUUCUUUCUUUUUUUUUUUUUUUUCCCCAUUUCACCCCCUCUGGAUCCGUGUCGCAAGCCUGCAGUCUGCCGUGAGUCUGUCUGUCUUUCAUUGCGGAUACCGUGACGGAAGGCCGGACCACCGGGAGGAAAACACCAAGAGGGGGAAGAUGGAAACUGGAUGCAUGAGGAGAAGCACGUCGACAACACAUCCUGAAGUUCAAUUUUUAUUGCAUCAUCCUCCCUUCCCAGCAUGGUGUCACUCAAUAUUGGCCAUGUCGGUUGGAGGUUUUGAACACUAAGCUCACAAGAAGAACUCAACAGAGGGGAGCACCUUCAGACAGAAGUCGACUUCACUUCAACCCCUGUGAAGAUUGAUGACACUGGUCCUUGUUUCAAUGGGUUUAAGGAACAAGUGGCCCUCAGAGACUCAUUACACCUCAGCAAGAUUUGGAGAAUGGAGUGACACUGGUCCUGAUUACCAGAUUCAUCAUUUGUAUUGGACUGUGUUGCUCUUUUACAAAUGUCAGCUGGAGAACUGUACCAAAACCACUAAUAUGGUUCCAUUCUCUCUACUGUAAAAGAGCUGAAGAAAGAAAGGCUCUUCUCUCACUUUUGUUUAUUUGCCACACAUAAGACUUGCAUAAACAGUCAGAUAAUCCAUCUUUGUCCUCCACACAAACAUUUUAACCAGGCUGGAUGUCAAAUACCCCAAUCAUACGUCCCUGACCUCAAUCCUGGCCACACUUCUCCAUCCACCUCCUCCCCCUUGUUCAUCUAGCCACCAUGCUUAGGUAACCAAGCUCCCUCUCUGGCCCUAUCCUUAACCCCAUUUGUACCCUGCACCCCCGCCUGUCCCCACAACCUGUCAGGGACCGGCUUCCCAUGUCCAUCACCGGGUGAUGGAUGAGGUGGAAGGUCGUCAC
ensembl:lncRNA